rnacentral:rRNA from 1 species
UGGCGAACGGGUGAGUAACGCGUGAGGAACCUGCCUCAAAGAGGGGGACAACAGUUGGAAACGACUGCUAAUACCGCAUAAGCCCACGGUGCCGCAUGGCACAGAGGGAAAAGGAGCAAUCCGCUUUGAGAUGGCCUCGCGUCCGAUUAGCUAGUUGGUGAGGUAACGGCCCACCAAGGCGACGAUCGGUAGCCGGACUGAGAGGUUGAACGGCCACAUUGGGACUGAGACACGGUCCAAACUCCUACGGGAGGCAGCAUG